UCCUACGGGAGGCAGCAGUGGGGGAUAUUGCACAAUGGGGGGAACCCUGAUGCAGCGACGCCGCGUGGGUGAAGGAGUGCUUCGGCAUGUAAAGCCCUAUCGGCAGGGAAGAAGCAAGACGGUACCUGACUAAGAAGCCCCGGCUAACUACGUGCCAGCAGCCGCGGUAAUACGUAGGUGGCAAGCGUUGUCCGGAUUUACUGGGUGUAAAGGGCGUGCAGCCGGAGAGACAAGUCAGAUGUGAAAUCCACGGGCUCAACCCGUGAACUGCAUUUGAAACUUUUUCCCUUGAGUGUCGGAGAGGU
rnacentral:rRNA from 1 species